ACAAAUACAUUGAACUGUGGGCCAGGACAGAGACGGAGGGACGGCGGUCGUGGACGUCAGGAACUCGAGCCGUGGCUCAGCUCGUCGGGCUCCUUCCUGAUCCGUGGAUCAGGAUACUUGCUUUUCGUCAACUCUGGCGACGGCGGAGUAAAUGCGAGAUUGGGGGCGUGUGGGGGGAGGAGGGGUGGUACUCGUCUCCUACCUCGAUCCACAGUGCUUGAGGUUCCGAUGGUGCCUUUCCAUUACACAGUGAGCGAUUUUAUUGCCGGAAUGGAGCAGCAUCAGCCAUUUGCCGAUUCGUGUGCGGGCCUGCGGGGCGGAGGUGGGAGAUCAUAGGGAGGGUUCACCACAUGCUUCCGAACAAUCGGUAGGCGAGAUGGACCCACUCCAGGAUGGAGCCGCAGGUAUGUUCGUACUCAUCGCUGGAGUUGAAAAUUAAUGUUGCAAAUCUGAAAAAACUAUGUUCGUAUGUGUGUGCUUGUCAUUAAUAGACUAGAGAACAGGUGGGAUAUCAGAUGAGUCAUGAGUGUGAGGUUUUACGGAUCUAGUGCUUCGUACAUUAUUGAAUGAUUCAUUCAGCACCUCGUUUUUGCAACACAGACAUUCUCUCUUUCAGCCUGAUUACACCAUAAAUUGUGAACUGUAAGAAAGAAUGUCUCUCACGCAAAAUUGAUGGUGGAAUCUGAAGAAUCUGAGCUUGUAUGUGUGUGGCUGCUUGAAAGUACAAGACUAUAGUAGAGGGAUUCACCAGAUGAUUGUGAACUGAAUGCUUUGUUUGGCACCUCACAUAUUGUUACACUAUGAAUUUUGAACUGUAGGAAAGAAUUUCUCUGUUGCAAAAUCCAUGUGUCCAAAUCUGAAGAUUCAGUAUUUAUAUGUGUGCGAUUGCUUGUAAUUUUGACACUAUGGUCACUAUGUGUGUGGUUGCUUGUAAUUUUGACACUACGGUACUGGGUGAUUGAUCAGACGUUUUACAGAUUGACUGCUUGUCUAGAGUUGAAUGAUUCGAUUAGUAGCUCCCAUUGGUUAAAAAAAUAUAGAAGAUUAGAGCCCUCAUUUUGAUAGUUCAUGGAAAAUUUGGUUACAGCAGAAAAUGUGACAUGUAAGAUAGAAUCUCGCUGUUAAGAACUUAAGAUUCAUGUUGCACUGCAAUCUGUUUUGGAUUACAGUUAGUAAGCCCUAUGGAAGUUGUAAACAUUAAUGAACUUUUAUAAAGCACCUAUCCAUAAGGGAAUGGGAGAGAUUAAUUCCAGCAGUGUCACUGAAGGUGUGUUUGUUGUGGGUACCAGAAUGAGACAUGGUUCCUGUAUUUGCAAAGAAAAUGUUUCAUGUGCAUGGGAUUCCAUUUCAGAUCUAAAAUCACGAAGGAAAAUAGGGUUGCAUUACUCGAAUGCCAAGGGAAACAAUAACAUAUAGAUUAGAUAAAUUAGUUGAUCAAAGACAGAAUGUUACAUUAGUUGUACUGUGUCGGUGCCGGAUGCAAGCUGAGUAUUCCCAAAGGUAUGAUCGAUGAAGAAGAACCGGCGAGUGAGUAGACAAGUGAGUGCGGAAUGCAAAUGGAGAAGGUGGAGACGAUUAGGGAAGGGUACUUGUUAGAAGGAAGGCAAGGCAGGAAUGACAGACAUAUAUGUUGCCGCAUGUAUUGCAUCUGCUGAAUAGGUAGGAGCUCCUUACUCGGUGCAUGGGUAUGUCGACCAUUCAAAACAUGCCUCAUGAGGUCUUGUCCUCCCUGGUCCGUGGACCAAGAAACAUGCUUUCCAUUCAUUGCAACCUAAACUGAGUAAUUUGCUGGUAUGGUGCCUGGUGGAGUUGUCUUCUUCCUCGGGUGCCUGGAUCUUUCCAUUGGCGAGAGUGGUGACCUUGGCAGCGGACCUCCUGUGCGAGGGAGCUGGAGUUCUUGAUACAGCCGAUUAAGAGAACAGAACACUGGUGUUGAAGCCUGGAGAGGUUAAUGACAGCAAAAUUCCAAUGGAGUCGCUGCACUACCCGGUCGUCGAGCACCUGGCGCCUAUGAGGGGGUUUAGUGCAGACGGAUAGAUCUGUGCGGCGGAGGGGGCGGCAGAUGCUCAAAUUAAAGAUUUACCUCAAGUAUCUGUGCAAUUUAUUGGCCAGAUCGACCCUAAAGCUCCUGGAUGGACGUACAGUGGGCUGCAUUGUAAACCCAGGAUGAUGUGUGCAUUGCCUGGUGUGUUACUAAUGAUCUGGUUUAAUUUCUGCAGCAUGGGAAGCUGAAGCAUACCACCAAAAUCAAUUUCUGUAACCAGCCACUUCUUGAAUUGGUCCAACUCAGCUGAAUAACUUUGACAACAUGCUUAAUGGAGAUCCAGGGGCAGUGACUCCUUCAUUGUUGAUCGGUACACCAUUAUCAGAAAAUGAUGGAUGUGGGUUGCGAUCGAUAACUGGGUCAGCAAAUCCAUCGCCAUCUCAACCCCGAGAGUCCAACAUGAUCACUGUGAAUCAUAACAAAAAGGAGAUCUCAGACUAAAUGUCUCUGAGCAUCGCUCCGACAGUGAUUAGGAAUCAGUAUAAGUAAAAUUAGUUUGUUGUCUAAAGCCACGUAUUGUGCCAUUUGCUGGGUCACCUGCGGCAGUUUCAAAAUCUCUAGUAUAAUUACUGAAUGGUGUACUUCAAAAUUAGUUCUGACAUAUGCAUAUGCAUUGCCAAAA